GUCAAGUAAGAAUACCCGCUGAACUUAAGCAUAUCAAUAAGCGGAGGAAAAGAAACUAACUAGGAUUCCCUUAGUAACGGCGAGUGAACUGGGAAAAGCUUAAAUUUUAAAUCACCUCGGUGAAUUGUAAUUUGAAGAAAGUGGUUUGACUUUUCAGUUUAAUCUAAAUCCUUUGGGAUGAGGUAUCAUAGAGGGUGAGAAUCCCGUUCUUGAUUAAACCUCGGAUUGCACUAAAUUCACUUUCCAAGAGUCGAGUUGUUUGGGAUUGCAGCUCCAAAUGGGUGGUAAAUUUCACCUAAGGCUAAAUAUAUGCAAGAGACCGAUAGCGAACAAGUACCGUGAGGGAAAGAUGAAAAGUACUUUGAAAAGAGAGUUAAACAGUACGUGAAAUUGUUGAAAGGGAAACGAUUGAAGUCAGUCAUGCUAGUGAGGAAUCAACUUGGUGGUUUACUUCUUUGUGCAUUUUCUCGCUUGGCAGGUUAGCAUCAAUUUUGGUUGUCAUCAAAGAAUUGGGGGGAAUGUGGCUUUUCUUCGGUAAAGUGUUAUAGACCCUGAUUGAUGUGGCGACUGGGAUUGAGGUUUGCAGCGGAUGCCUCUUGUGGCUAGUCACCUGUCUUCUGACCGUCACCUCACUUUUGACAGCUUGCUGAUGAUUGCGGGAUUUGGCGACCUAGAAGUUAGAGUGAACAUAAAUUCGCUAAGGAUGCUGACGUAAUGGCUUUAAACGACCCGUCUUGAAACACGGACCAAGGAGUCUAACAUGUGUGCGAGUGUU
rnacentral:rRNA from 1 species